rnacentral:lncRNA from 1 species
CCUCCUCUUCCUUUUCCUCUCCCUCAUUUCUAUUACUUGGCCCUUCACCCCCUUCAAUCCCUUCAUCUUCCUUUUCCUCUCCCUCAUUUCUGUUACUUGGCCCUUCAUCCCAUUGAAUGUCAUCCAUUUCCUCACUUCCCUUAAAUAGAUGUGAGAUGACACAACGAUUUGUCCUCUCUUUCAGUAAAGCUAGGUCCCUCCUUACUUCCUUCUCAAACUGAGGACCUAAACAGUGG